GGAUUAGAUACCCUGGUAGUCCACACCGUAAACGAUGAGUGCUACCUGUCGGGGCUUCGGCUUCGGUGGGAAUAGCUAACGCGUUAAGCACUCCGCCUGAGUAGUACGGUCGCAAGACUAAAACUCAAAGGAAUUGACGGGGACCCACACAAGCGGUGGAGCAUGUGGUUUAAUUCGACGCUAACCGAGAAACCUUACCAAAGCUUGACAUAACACCUUAAGCGUUCUCAGCAGUGAGGCGUAUGGGCAACCUAGGUGUUACAGGUGAUGCACGGCUGUCGUCAGCUCGUGCCG
rnacentral:rRNA from 1 species